rnacentral:rRNA from 1 species
AGAGAGAGACAUGCGCGCAUAUCAAUAAGCGGAGGAAAAGAAACUAACAAGGAUUCCCCUAGUAACGGCGAGUGAAGCGGGAAGAGCUCAAAUUUGAAAUCUUCAAGGGUUCUACCUUUACGAAUUGUAGUUUAAAGAAGUGUUUUCUGUUGAGGUUUUGGUAAAAGUUCUUUGGAAUAGGACAUCAUAGAGGGUGAGAAUCCCGUAUUUGACCAUUAUUUCCAGCUUUGUGAUACACUUUCAAAGAGUCGGAUUGUUUGGGAAUGCAGUUCAAAAUGGGUGGUAAAUUUCAUCUAAAGCUAAAUAUUGGCGAGAGACCGAUAGCGAACAAGUACCGUGAGGGAAAGAUGAAAAGAACUUUGAAAAGAGAGUUAAACAGUACGUGAAAUUGUCAAAAGGGAAGCGUUUGACACCAGUGUUGUUUUCUCGAAAAUCAAUUAAAAAAGGCAGGAUUUUGUGUUGUAUUGACCUUAUCAGCUUUCUGCACUCUUUUCUUGUCUUUUUUAAUGCACUUUUCGUUUAACAAGUCAACAUCAAUUUCUUUUGUUGUAAAAGGGUCAUUGGAAGGUGGCUUUCUUUUCGGAGAAAGUGUUUAUAGCCUUUGGCCUCUGCAAUCGGAGAGAUUGAGGUCUGCAGCGUAGAUCCUUCGGGGUUAGAUACAUUUGUGCUAAGUUAUAGCCUUUCAUAGACAACUUGUUGACUAUAAUCAGUCAUGUAGCUUACUCGCUUAUGCUAUUUUACCUACGCUUAGGAUGUUGAUGUGAUACUGCGAGC